GUGACAACAGGCAAAAAACAGACUCAGAAAACGUGAUUCGUGACACUUAAAAGUGAUUCAGAGACAGAAUGCCAGAUUCAGUGACAGAGCACAGAGAAAUACUACUGUUCUUCUUGAUUAUUUAAAUCUGGACAUUCUCUGACCUCUGGAUGAAGGACAACAGCCGCUUGUUGAUUAACAAACACGAAACCACUUGGGGAAAAAGAGAACAGGAAAAUUGACAGAAUGCUCCUCAAGCCUCAGGUGGAGAGACGUCGGAGAGAGAGAAUGAACCACAGUCUGGAGAGCCUGAGAACCCUGCUGCUGCAGGGACCACUACAACACGGUGUGACUCAGCAUAGAGUGGAGAAAGCUGAGAUCCUGGAACACACUGUUCUCUUUCUCCAGAACACUGGAGAUGGGGACAGGAAGAAAGGUGAAGAUGGAGAAAAGCAACAUCCCUUCCAGGAUG